GAAACACAACUAAACGGCUAGGAAAAUUAUUUGUUCUAUGUCACAUAUCGGGGUCAUAUACUAUCCCAGAAAAAUAUAUAGCAAAGAAUAAGUUAUUCAAAGAUCUCAUGUCGAUUUUAUCUCACACUGCAGGGAAUAAGUUAUUCAAAGCUUGCGAAUUUACCACCUAUAGUCGGCCUCUACUCAAGCUUCGUGGGAUGCAGAUUUUUAUGUGAAGACAGUCAUAUCUUGCUGCUGCUGUUGCUUCAUGGGAUGCAGAUUUUUAUGUGAAAGUUGAUGAUGAUGUUCAUGUAAAUAUAGCAACACUAGGAGAAACUUUGGCAAGAUACAGGAAAAAGCCACGGGUGCAUAUCGGAUGUAUGAAAUCUGGUCCUGUUCUUGCUCAGAAGUAAGUGGAAUUUUGUCUUAAAAUUCUUGCUGUUAACUGG